UAGCUCAGUCGAUAGAACACAAGGUUUUCAACCUUAAGGUCGUGGGUUCUAGUCCCAC
rnacentral:tRNA from 1 species